GACCCAAUAAUAUUAAAGUUUCAAACUACAUCAAGUAUGAAGAUGUGAAUUUUUGGUUCCAAAUUUGAUGAAAAUCAACAAAAACCACUGUUAUAAAACUUUCACUUUACCAACAACAAACUAAGAAGUAAAUUUCUGUUUUUCUAGAUUAGGGAAUUGCAAGUAAACAAACAGAUAACCGUAACCUAGCUCAAAUCAAUCAUUUCUACGUUUCUCAAGAAGAUCGCUGCCUCGAAAAUUUUAGUUGCUUCUAAUCUUGCUUUU
rnacentral:misc_RNA from 1 species